CCAAAAUGUUAUAAGACCAGCAGAAUUACUGCUCCCACCUUCUCACUUCCUCUUGAGGUUGACUUUGCUAGGGAUAGAAGAUUGAGCUGUGUUAAGAGAGAGAAACUUUGCCACGUCAGCCUUGAUUUCAUUGGAGACAAUGUUGAUAUGAAUCCAGAAUGGGAUUUGCUGUAGGAUUUAUUUGGCCUCAGAAGGUUCACGUCCUUUGACCUAUAGAGUCCUCUCAACACCAGCUGGAACUAGGAAAUGUAUUUGCAGGACAAAUAGGCAUGAAAGGAACAAAGAACUGGAUGCAAGGUGAGAACAGGACAUUCUGGUGCUAUACUUGGACUGCAGAAUAUCUUUUGAAAUUAGAAACCUGAUGUUCAAAUACAGCAAAUUUUUUAGUGGUGAAGCUU